GUGCUCGCUUCGGCAGCACAUAUACUAAAAUUGGAACGAUACAGAGAAGAUUAGCAUGGCUCCUGCGCAAGGAGGACAUGGAAGACCUGUUCAGAGGUCAU
rnacentral:snRNA from 1 species